CAGGCCUAACACAUGCAAGUCGAGCGGUAGAUUUUCUUCGGAGAAUUGAGAGCGGCGUACGGGUGAGGAACACGUGUGCGACUACCUUUAUCUGGAGGAUAGCCUUUCGAAAGGAAGAUUAAUACUCCAUAAUAUAAUUAUUGGCAUCAAUACCUAUUGAAAGCUCCGGCGAUAAAGAUGGGCACGCGCACAGAUUAGCUAGUUGGUGAGGUAACGGCUCACCAAGGCAGUGAUCUUUAGGGGGCCUGAGAGGGUGAUCCCCCACACUGGUACUGAGACACGGACCAGACUCCUACGGGAGAGGAGCAGUGAGGAAUAUUGGUCAAUGGGUGCAAGCCUGAACCAGCCAUCCCGCGUGAAGGACGACUGCACUAUGGGUUGUAAACUUCUUUUGUAUAGGGAUAAACCUACCCUCGUGAGGGUAGCUGAAGGUACUAUACGAAUAAGCACCGGCUAACUCCGUGCCAGCAGCCGCGGUAAUACGGAGGGUGCAAGCGUUAUCCGGAUUUAUUGGGUUUAAAGGGUCCGUAGCGGACUUAUAAGUCAGUGGUGAAAGCCUGUCGCUUAACGAUAGAACUGCCAUUGAUACUGUCAGUCUUGAGUAUAUUUGAAGUAGCUGGAAUAAGUAGUGUAGCGGUGAAAUGCAUAGAUAUUACUUAGAACACCAAUUGCGAAGGCAGGUUACUAAGAUAUAACUGACGCUGAGGGACGAAAGCGUCGGGAGCGAACAGGAUUAGAUACCCUGGUAGUCCACGCCGUAAACGAUGCUAACUCGUUUUUGGAUUUUCCGGAUUCAGAGACCAAGCGAAAGUGAUAAGUUAGCCACCUGGGGGAGUACGCUCGCCAGAGUGAAAAUCAAAGGGAAUUGACGGGGG
rnacentral:rRNA from 1 species